GGGCCCGCACAAGCGGUGGAGCAUGUGGUUUAAUUCGACGCAACGCGAAGAACCUUACCAGGUCUUGACAUCCGGUGCAAGACACUAGAGAUAGUGGGAUAGUUAUGGCCGAGACAGGUGGUGCAUGGUUGUCGUCAGCUCGUGUCGUGAGAUGUUUGGUUAAGUCCAGCAACGAGCGCAACCCUUGUCCUUAGUUGCCAUCAUUAAGUUGGGGACUCUAAGGAGACUGCCGGUGUAAAUCGGAGGAAGGUGGGGAUGACGUCAAAUCAUCAUGCCCUUUAUGACCUGGGCUACACACGUGCUACAAUGGGCGGUACAAAGAGAAGCGAGACAGUGAUGUUAAGCAAACCUCAAAAAGCCGCUCUCAGUUCGGAUUGAAGUCUGCAACUCGACUUCAUGAAGCCGGAAUCGCUAGUAAUCGCGAAUCAGCAACGUCGCGGUGAAUACGUUCUCGGGCCUU
rnacentral:rRNA from 1 species